GCGCCUGUAGCUCAGUGUUUAGAGCACUGGUCACAUGCACCCAGGCUCGUGGGUUCAACCCCCAGCCAGGCCUG
rnacentral:tRNA from 1 species